AUUGAACGCUGGCGGCAGGCCUAACACAUGCAAGUCGAACGGUAACAGGAAACAGCUUGCUGUUUCGCUGACGAGUGGCGGACGGGUGAGUAAUGUCUGGGAAACUGCCUGAUGGAGGGGGAUAACUACUGGAAACGGUAGCUAAUACCGCAUAACGUCGCAAGACCAAAGAGGGGGACCCUCGGGCCUCUUGCCAUCGGAUGUGCCCAGAUGGGAUUAGCUUGUUGGUGGGGUAACGGCUCACCAAGGCGACGAUCCCUAGCUGGUCUGAGAGGAUGACCAGCCACAGUGGAACUGGGACACGGUCCAGACUCCUACGGGAGGCAGCAGUGGGGAAUAGUGCACAAUGGGCGCAAGCCUGAUGCAGCCAUGCCGCGUGUAUGAAGAAGGCCUUCGGGUUGUAAAGUACUUUCAGCGGGGAGGAAGGGAGUAAAGUUAAUACCUUUGCUCAUUGACGUUACCCGCAGAAGAAGCACCGGCUAACUCCGUG
rnacentral:rRNA from 1 species